UGCACCACUCUUCCUCUGCACAGGCUUCGAUAAAUCUCCCCCAAUAUUUUGUUUUUAUACUUUCUGUCAGGUUCCCCCACAGAUUAACACAACUACAAAAAAUUAUAGCUAAAAUAUUCAAUCUUUUAUUAGAAAAUCACCUUAAAAACCCUAAUAAAAAAAAUCGUCUGGAAAAAUAAUACCCCGCAGAUUACAGGUGAUUUGCCAGGGGAUCCAUGUAUCAUUUCGGGAGGUAAGAAAAUGAUUAGCCAAAGACAACAAUCCUGAGGCAUUAAAUCAUCUAACCAACUCAAUUCCCGUUUCGUAAAGAAAAAGUCCAUUAGUUUCCGUACAAACACCAAUGCCAAGACCUUGUCAAAGAAGCAAAUAGCUAAGUUAAUAAUGCAAAUUAUAGAUCAAUAAAGAGCUAGUCAAUACAACUUCUCACCAUCAUAGGAAACACAAUGGCUGCCCGAGAUGCUUUGAUGACCCAGAGGAGUACGAGACAAGUCAGCUGCAACACG